UUUACCGAUGUGGUUGUCCUCGAUGUGCUCGAUGAGGUCGGCCAGGGUGGGGAAGUGGAGUCCGCAGCCCCCGAAUCGGCAGAGAUGGAGUUUUGCCAUUUGCCCAGGCUGGACUCGCAGUCCUGGACUCAACCACCUUGGCCUCCCAAAGUGCUGGGAUUACAGAUCAUUAACCUUGGGGAAGUCACUCAGUCUCUCUGAGACUUCUUACCUACACACUGGAUUUAACAGUACAGAUCCUACCCAGCUUCUGGGGAUGAAAUGAAAUGCUGCAUGUGAAAACACACUGGAAACUAUAAAAUGCUAAUCAAAGAUGAGAGACAUCAUGAAGAUGUGAAAUCACUUUGGAGCAUACCUGCUUUAUUUUGAGAUGAGCCAUUUGAGUGGACCCUUCUGAGUGAUGUAGACAUAAGCACAACAUGACAGCCGGAGCAACAGUAGCUAUCUUAUGAAUGUGAGAAUGUGGAUCAUACUAGAUUGAUGAACUGCAAUUGCCCUAUCAGCCCAGCACUGCCUACUUCUGGAAUUCUCGUUGUGUGUGAGAAAAAUAAAUUCCUAUUUAUUUAAA
rnacentral:lncRNA from 1 species